CAGUCGCCGCGGUAAUACAGAGGGUGCGAGCGUUAAUCGGAUUUACUGGGCGUAAAGCGUGCGUAGGCGGCUUCUUAAGUCGGAUGUGAAAUCCCUGAGCUUAACUUAGGAAUUGCAUUCGAUACUGGGAAGCUAGAGUAUGGGAGAGGAUGGUAGAAUUCCAGGUGUAGCGGUGAAAUGCGUAGAGAUCUGGAGGAAUACCGAUGGCGAAGGCAGCCAUCUGGCCUAAUACUGACGCUGAGGUACGAAAGCAUGGGGAGCAAACAGGAUUAGAUACCCAAGUAGUCCCUGUCUCUUAUAC
rnacentral:rRNA from 1 species